rnacentral:lncRNA from 1 species
AAUUGCCCUCGCUUUAGCGCUCCCGGCUCCCGGCGCAGAGCCCAGGGGGCUGCUGUCUCCCACGUCACUGCUCAAUUAUAUGCACCGAGAAAGAGAAGGGACAGACCUUCCUGGAGGCUCCCCCGAAGGACAUCUUGAGAACUGUCUGGUGUGUGAGGCUGCAGCAGACAGGAGGAAGAGAGACAGGAACAAGGAAAAACUUCAGAAGAGUCAAGAAGAGAGAGAAAAGCAAAGCCGGAGGGAGCUGGAGGUUAAGGAUAACGCCUUAGACGCUGCGUAGCCUCAAGACAGCUUACGGAGCCCAGCCAGAGUCAGGGAAGUCACCUGUACUUGGGUCUCUCAAGAGAGCCAAGAGGACCAGACCAGCAGAGACUUAGGCUCACAGAAUUGCGUCUCCUUGGUCAUGAACCCUGAUGGGAAGGGAAAGGAGGCAAAGACAAACGUAGUGGGAGGUGGAGCAGUUGGAAGAUGGUGGUCCCUCCCUGGGCUGCCUAAGUUGAGUAAUUGCUUUGCAUAACUUUCCUGGGCCCUGGGUUUAAAAAAAAAAAAAAAAAAAAAAAAAGGCUUCUUGCCCUCCUUGGAAGGAGCCUAGAGUCUUAUGGGCAAAGGGGGCCUCGUCUCCUCCACCCCAACCCUGGGGCUGGAGCCCCUCCCUCCCAGCCUGCUUCCCUCCUUACUUCCCCUGGCUUUGCAUCUUGCUCUGCUCUUGGGCGCAGUUUGGGAGGGGGCUGGGACUCCCUCUGAGCACAGUUUCCAAUAGUUUCCCAAAGUUGGUGGUGUUUUCUUUCAGCUUUCUGUGUGUUUGGUUAGGACAAUGAGCUACCUAAUGGUUAUUAGACUAAUAAAAAGACACCAAAACAAA